AUACAACUCAUCAACCCUGUGAACAUACCUAAAACGUUGCUUCGGCGGGAACAGACGGCCCUGUAACAACGGGCCGCCCCCGCCAGAGGACCCCUAACUCUGUUUUUAUAAUGUUUUUCUGAGUAAACAAGCAAAUAAAUUAAAACUUUCAACAACGGAUCUCUUGGCUCUGGCAUCGAUGAAGAACGCAGCGAAAUGCGAUAAGUAAUGUGAAUUGCAGAAUUCAGUGAAUCAUCGAAUCUUUGAACGCACAUUGCGCCCGCCAGUAUUCUGGCGGGCAUGCCUGUUCGAGCGUCAUUACAACCCUCAGGCCCCCGGGCCUGGCGUUGGGGAUCGGCGGAAGCCCCCUGUGGGCACACGCCGUCCCUCAAAUACAGUGGCGGUCCCGCCGCAGCUUCCAUUGCGUAGUAGCUAACACCUCGCAACUGGAGAGCGGCGCGGCCAUGCCGUAAAACACCCAACUUCUGAAUGUUGACCUCGAAUCAGGUAGGAAUACCCGCUGAACUUAAGCAUAUCAAUAAGCGGAG
rnacentral:rRNA from 1 species